GCAAUAUAUUCCACUAUAGUUCCAGAUGUACCUUUUACAUCAUAUGGAAAAGUCAUGAAAGUGGAAGGAACGGCCUUAAUCUCGACAUGGAACUUCCUUGAGGCUAACCUAUCACACCUGACUGGAGUCGUAAGAGAUGUUGAGGGCAGGAAGACUUCUGUUCCCUGUAAGUCUACACAAGACACCAUACUGUUCAUUUGUCCUCUUUGGCAAACAUACAGCAAUGAAGUGAGAACCCUUACCGUCUCUUCGAUUAAGCCUUGCAAAUCCUGGGCUGUGACUACUGGACAGCUCCGUUGAACUACUGAACGAUGAUUGAGGCAAGGCAGACACCAGCUGAUCGUGACAAUUAUCUGUCAGAGAAAAACAUCAUGCAUCAGGCUCGCGCACUUAAACAAGGGCCGUUGAAAACCAUAACUAAAACAGAACACUGGCAAACA